UACGAAGGGGGCUAGCGUUGUUCGGAAUUACUGGGCGUAAAGCGUGCGCAGGCGGCUUCUCAAGUCAGGGGUGAAAGCCCAGAGCUCAACUCUGGAAUUGCCUUUGAGACUGAGUGGCUUGAGUACGAGAGAGGUGAGUGGAAUUCCCAGUGUAGAGGUGAAAUUCGCAGAUAUUCGCAAGAACACCAGUGGCGAAGGCGGCUCACUGGCCCGAUACUGACGCUGAGGCACGAAAGCGUGGGGAGCAAACAGG
rnacentral:rRNA from 1 species